AGAAAAUGACGUGAACUCUUAACGGAGUUCUCUCAAAGUGUUGGAGGGGAAGGCCUGCGCUUAAUUGCGCGGCUGUUUUUAAUCUCCUCCGCCUUUGAUACACACAUUGGAGUUUCUACUUUUUUGUUCUCUUUGGGAGGGUUCUGCUCUCCCAGAGGUAAACACAAACAAUCUUUUAUUAUACUAUUAACACAGUCAAAUGAAUUUUAAAAACAAAAUAUUCAAAACUUUCAACAACGGAUCUCUUGGUUCUCGCAUCGAUGAAGAACGCAGCGAACUGCGAUACGUAAUGUGAAUUGCAGAAUUCCGUGAAUCAUCGAAUCUUUGAACGCACAUUGCGCCCCUUGGUAUUCCGGGGGGCAUGCCUGUUUGAGCGUCAUUUCCCUCUCAAACUUUACGUUUGGUAGUGAGCGAUACUCUACUCUGGAGUUUGCUUGAAAAUGGGAGGCCAUAGGCGAAGCAUUGCUUUCCAAUCCUGCGGCCCUCUGCUUACUUCCCCUUGUGGGUUGUGGCAGGGGAAAGCGGGAGGCGCCUUGCCACGAUAGUCGUAUUAGGUUUUACCGACUCGGCGAAAGUGAAGAGGUUUGCUUUUUAAAAAGAAGCAGGCAGCGUCUGGCUUGACAAAAUUCUCAAAGUUUGACCUCAAAUCAGGUAGGAUUACCCGCUGAACUUAAG
rnacentral:misc_RNA from 1 species